GUAGACGUGUGUAUGAUGUUGAUGUCGAGGUAGCGGAGCGUGAUGUAGCCAUGGUCGUGGUUGUCGCGGUCGGUGUAGCCGAUAGAGCCGAAUGCGCAAAAAUUUUUUUUGCACGGUUUUGUGUCGUAGGGCGGCGGCGGCAGGUUUUCUGCGACGGCGGCAGGUUUUUGUGUCGUAGCGUGGCGGCGGCAGGUUUUCUGCGGCGGCGGCGGAGUUUUUACCAGGCGGGCGAGGCGAUUGUAGGAUCGCCCUAGCAGAGCGCCGGCGAGUUUUUAGGCGGCGGCGGCAGGGUUUCUGCGGCGGCGGCGGGGUUCUUGGUUGUCAUUGGCGGCGUGCAGCGGCGACUCGCAUCGAAGUGGCGGCUACGGGCAGCAAGGUUUUGUUUUUGAUGGCUUUCGGCGACGAUUCGCAUGAUGUAGACCUUGGCGUUGUUUGGUGUUGGCGAUGUAGAACUCAACGAAGAGCUUGAUGUAGUCGUACAACUUGACGUAGUUCUUCAUGUUGGUGCAGAUCGGCGACGAUGUAGUUGUCCAAUGUCGAUGAAGAUCUUGAUGGUGCUGAAGCUGGGUCGAUGUCGUUCCGGCUUGACGCAGUGUAGAUGUCGGUGUCGGGCGCGACGUGAGCGUCUCCUGGUAGCCGGCUGGAUCGGCCGGCGGAUUCGCACGUACGUGAGAUUCCAGGAUUCAGUCAGCACCAUACACUGCACGGAUCCUGCCGCGCACCACCGUCUGCGCGGAAUUUGCACCAAUCUUCACCGGAGUAUGAGAGGAUCUGGUAGAUUUGUAGGGAUUUUAUUUGGCUAAUUGGAUCUAAUCUAUAAGCUGGAAUUUCGAAAAACAAUCUACGAUCUAAUCUAGAGAACCGAUCUAAUCUUUGAUCGAGACCGGGUGCCGCGCCCCCGAGGAGAGAUCUCCCCGGGGGCGGCGAUCAUUGCGGAAGUGGUGGAAGUUCCUAAGAUCGGCGUCGUGAGACUAGCCGCUCUGAUACCAUGUGGAAAAAUAUAGAACCCUAAUAUUUCGUUGUAUUGAUCUGGACCCUGGUGAGGGGUUUAUAUAGGAGUACAAAGGGAGGUUCUUGGAGUACAAGACAAGUUGUGCUAAGUUUAAACCGACUAUAUCUCUAGCUCUAAAUACUCCAAUAUCUCUACGUAUUAUACUUCUAACACUCAUAUCAGAACCUUGCAAGCAAGAAAAGAGCUGUAUACUUCGCAACCCAGUAUUUGAAGAGCUAGCAUGGUAGGUGCAAGCAUUUUACCUCUAGGUGUUGCAAGGAAUUUGUGAGGAUCCCCAUAGAGGACUGCAUAGUAUGAUUUUGAUUGUUGUUGAAAAUUGAUUUCUCAUAAGAUACAUUUCUAUUUAUAACAUUGUACUUGGAGUGCAAUUUUGCAAGUCUGAUUGAUUGAUAUGUUGUCCUCAUAUCAGAAUCUUGCAAGCAAGAAAAAUACCAGGUCACUCAGCAUAUGGUUCUCGCAUAAAUUUUCCAGUUAAUGAUUUUCUGUAUUUUUAUCACUUUUCUACUUGAAUUUUGAAGAGUGCGAUGAUUGCAAGGAUUUUCCUACUAGGUGUUGCAAAGGCUGAUGAAAUUGUUGGACUGGGAAAAAAUCAAUGAGUACACCACUCUAGAAAAUUAUCAUUGCAAACUAGCAAUACUUUCUUUUUUAUGUUCCUGGAGAUGCAGGAACUAGAAAAUAAGGCUCCGCAGAAAAUAGCCUCGAAAUUAAGCGUCUAAAAGGAUUUUGAACAGAUAACAGCACAAACGCAACACAAGAUGUUCAUGGGAACCGACACCAUCUCGACGCGUCGUACCGUGAUCUCUCCCACUUCUUCUGAAGUUUAUGGUGAUUGCUGGAAAAGGUAUGUGACUUACCUGUUUAAGAUAAAUUAUAAUCAUAUGAGUGAUUCAGGGCCUCAUGGGGAACUAUAUUUUUGCCGGGUUGUGUAAGACAUGCAUCACAUAAUAUUACUGAGACAUAAAUCCCAUGGUGAAGUUCUUGCCUCGAUCGCGCUUCUCACCCCAUGGAUAAUUUGGAAGCAGCGCAACGACUGCGUGUUCAAUGGGGCAGAACCAUCCGUCCACAAUGUUGUCGCCAAGAUCAGAGAUGAAGCUGCCCUUUGGGCCAGGGCUGGUGCGCCGGGCCUGCGUGUUCUCCUGCUGCCCACCUGGGAUGUUCACUGAGCUGUACCUUUUUGUUUUCCAUUCUGAGACCUGCCGCCUAGGAGGAUUGUAACAACAAA